UUCAAAGUAGGGUUGCCAAGGUGUACGGUGUUACCAGUUUUACUUGGUACAAGGGACAACACCGGUGUGAAAUUUUAUACUGGGUAAAUGGGGGAAACACGUUGAAUGGAACUUCCAAUAUAGAUAUAGUAGCCUAACGAAUUGAAUAGCUUUAAAUAAAGAAUAGUUGCCUGAUGAAGAGUUUGUGACCCAUGAUAAAUGAACCUAAAUAACACAUUGAAAGCCAGAUGUUCUUUACCAACAUAUCGAAUUACACAGGCAGCAAAGUACGCACACUGACAGAAGACGUUUAUUGCAGAUAGCAUAUAUAAUGUGCAUGGUGGGUAACCGUAACACGUCUCGGAUUCAGAAUGACACAAGAAAUGCUGUUAGACACACAGACACAUGCUUGAAGAAACACACUUUAUUAUAUUUUUAAGAACAGAUGACACAAAAGCCGUCUAUGCGCAUGUCUGAUGCGCAUGUCUGAUGCGCUAUUUGUUCGGAGGCAUGCAGUCUCGUGGAACAUGCGUAUGUAAAGGGUUCUCACUCUUUCUGUUUCAGUCUUCUGAAUUUUUUUUGCAAGAAUAGUAUCAUCUAUGAGAAUUAGAACCCAACCGAUAUGGGAUUUUUGAGACCUAUACCAAUUUUAGAGGGGGAAAAUUCACAGAUUACCGAUAUGGUGGCCACUGUAGUUAAUUUUUGAGCCGGAAUAAAAACAGACCUUUUCUAUGUGGAUUGUUCACCGAUUUUGCACUGAUAUGACUAUGCAAAGUUACUCAUAAGGCUGCUUUCUUAAAUAUUUUUAUCAAAGAAUAUUUGACAUUAUUAUUAUAUAUUGUCAACAAAUUCUAGAAAUGAACACUGAGAAAAUAAAGAAUAAAUAAAAAUACAAUAAAUAGCUUAAUAAACAUCAGUACUGUAUGUUAAAUAUCAGUCUGUUGCUGUCCAUUUAAAUAAAUGAAUAAAAAUACAAUAAAUAGCUUAAUAAACAUCAGUACUGUAUGUUUAGUAUCAGUCAAUUGCUGACCAUUAAAAUAAAGAAUAAAUUCAAAUAAAAUAAAUAGCUAAAUAAACAUCAGUACUGUAUGUUCAGUAUCAGUCAAAUGCUGACCAUUAAAAUAAAGAAUAAAUUCAAAUAAAAUAAAUAGUUAAAUAAACAUCAGUACUCUUUAGUGUCAGUCAAAUGCUGACUAUUUUAAUACUGCCAGUUAAUUUGGGGCAGGUUGUAAAACAAGAAGCAUUUACACCUGCCAAGUCAGGAGAUAAACAGCGGAGCGGUGUAACACCGUAUUCUGCUAUACAAAUUCAGGGGAAACUUUCAACGGUGGAAAACCAGACUUUUAAAUAUUACAUUUUAUAAAUGCAAUGACUGGAAUUGUUCAGUUGAAGGGGGUACCAAACUGUGAAUCCUGAACAAAACAGUUUGGUGAAUACAUGUUUACACAUUAGCUUCCACUCAGCUGACAAGGUAUGAAAGUAGCUUUGUGGUUGGCUAGUUAGCUAUAAGCUCAUUGUCACGGAGAGUAAAAGAUGGAUGUUGUUUAUUUUACUUUCCAGCAUUGUGUCUCAUCAACAAGGUAACAACAUAAUGUGAAAUCAACACUCAUCAGACACAAUCCACCACCGCACUGUUGUCUGCUGAGCUGCAAAAAGAUGCUCUGAUGUUUACCUUUCAAUCUGCUACAUUACUGACUGCACUGACAAAUUAUAGCCGGCUAACAUAACAAACAGAUGUGAUAAACAUGAGUGGCAUGGUUGUCAAGGACAGGUUUAAGGUUAUAUUAGUUAUAUUGAAAAGGGAAAAUGAUGGGGUCAUUGUUUAUUAACUGUCCAGUAUGUAUUUCACAAACUAGUUAGCAACUUACUGAGAAGACACUGCUUAACACUGCACCGCUUAACUCCGCCCUGUCUACAGAGCCACCGGUAGCUCAGCUCUGUAAACAGAGUCAAAGCACGCUCUGUUGGACAAACUAUGUUUUGACACCAGUUCAAGCAUUGUUUUCUGCAUUAUAUGUUCUGAAAAAGUUUUCAUAUCUGCGCAUAUUGGUAAACACAUACGCUGAUACCGAUAUAUAUCGGUGAAAGGCUAAUACUGGCCGAUAAUAUAGGAUAAAUCGGUCGGGCACAAAUGAGAAUGCUGCAAAUGACCUCAGACCAUCUCAGCUCAGGAGGUGUUGUGAGCGCAACUCUGCUGGGUCACUUUAUAUAGGCUAUAGCUACAGUACUGUGCAAAGGUCUUAGGCACAUAAGAUGUUACACAAAAGCAUUUGUCUUAAGAUGAUUAUUUAUAUCUUCAGCUUUAGUGUGUCAAUAGGAAAUAUAAAUGUUAUAGUCCCAAACAUUACUUUUGCAAAUAGAAAAGUUUAGAAUAGAAGAACAGGGAGCCCUGCAACAGAUGUCAUGGCCCCCACAGAGCACCCCACUGAACAUCGUGUCAGUCUGAGAUUACAUAAAGAGACAGAAGCAAUUGAGACAGCCUAAAUAGAUAGAAGAACUGUGGUGCAUUCUCCAAGAAGCUUGGAACAUCCUAUCUGCCAACAACCAAGAAAAACUGUGUCCAGGUGUACCUAGGAGAAUUAGUGCUGUUUUAAAUGCAAAGCUGGCCACACCAAAUAUUGAUUUAGCUUUUUUAUGUUUACUGGACUUUGUAUGACAUUAAGUGAUAAAUGAAAACUAUUUAUGACAUUAUUUUUGAAGACAUCCUCACUAUGAAAUGUUUUUCACAAGUGCCUAAAACUUUUGCACAGUACUUGUACAUAGUUGUGAAUAAUGAAUUACACAGUCUGUUAAUGUGAUUAAUUGUUAUGUCCUGUGUUAGGAGAACUAGCAUAUAUUUCAUUUUAGUAAUUACAUUCUUUAAUCACCCCAUUUGUCAGCAUACACCAAUGCAAAGGUGUCCUUCAGCUUAGAUCUGUAUUGCCAGUUCUCACCAUAAGGUGGCAGGCUGGUACAGACUGAUUUUCUUCAUAAAUAUUUCCACAAACUUCUCAUGUCUUAUUGCAUCAGGUGUCUGAGAGCGUGCAAGAGAACAGUGUGUGCGUGAGACAUGCGAGGCAGCUCUUCUGUUAAUGCUUCAUCCUCACUCUUCUCUCACACUCAUCCUACAUGUUGUACAUGAUGAUGGUUCUGUAUCCUUAAUACCUGAAAAACAGUACAAGUUUUCAGUACCUGGCUUACCUGUGUCUGGAUAGAAACCCCUAACAUACUGUGACAUCAUGGACUGCAUCAUGAUGGACUGCAGUCUUUGUUCUUAUUUUGCAAUUCUGGUUUUGCAUCAUUAUCGAGCCACGACUUGCCGCAUAAUAAACAUAGUCAUGUUGAAUGUUCCCUCUUUUCUAUUGUCUGGCAAUAACAGGGUGUAUCCCUGAAUUGUUCAGAAGUAUGAGUCCUUAUCUAACUAACAGCUGCUGUCAUGCCUUCUGAAUGUUGCCUGUAUGGCUCUAAUGAAUCCAUUACAGGGCUGCCCAUGAGCCACCUUUUCUGUAGUGUGACAUGUGCCAUUAGCAAAGAGGGCCAGAUCAUCACUGAUCCCACGGCUCGGCAAGAGAAGGAAAGUAUUAUUAAUAUUUGCUAUUGAUAGCACUGAGCACAAUGUUUUGAUGUCAUCAACUACAGGCUCUUUUUUCAGUCCAAGAGCUGCAGCAGUGCAUAGCAAUCAGUCAAAAGGCAUCUAAACAAAUCUUUCAGUUUUAUAGGGAUUUUGUUAAACAAAACAAACUUUGUUAUUCAAAGAUACAAUAAAACACGCAUUUUAGGAUUUAUAUUUUGAGUGUGCAUUGUCAUUUCUUUGUUUAUAUUUAAUACUAAAUGUUGGAUGUUAUUAGGGCUAAACUUGUAUUAAGAAUUUUGAUGACUUAAUUAUUAUAUGCAUAAUGGCUUAUGACCCUGCUUACAUGGUUUCACCACAAAGCUUAAUUUUUGGUCUCGGAGCAGUUGCUUUCUUCAGUUCAAGAUUGUAUUUUCUAGCUAAUACUGUAUUCAUUUGCAUCAUAUGUAUGUUUUGUAUAGUAACAAUCAAGUGUCUUCUUAUGCCCUACUGGAAAUUUUUUUUUUUUA